CGCCCGUCGCUCCUACCGAUUGGGUGUGCUGGUGAAGUGUUCGGACUGGCUGCCGUGAGUGGUCUCCACCUGCGGCAGCUGGGAAGUUCAUUAAACCCUCCCACCUAGAGGAAGGAGAAGUCGUAACAAGGUUUCC
rnacentral:rRNA from 1 species